rnacentral:rRNA from 1 species
AAACUAACAAGGAUUCCCCUAGUAGCGGCGAGCGAAGCGGGAAGAGCUCAAAUUUAUAAUCUGGCACCUUCGGUGUCCGAGUUGUAAUCUCUAGAAAUGUUUUCCGCGUUGGACCGCACACAAGUCUGUUGGAAUACAGCGGCAUAGUGGUGAGACCCCCGUAUAUGGUGCGGACGCCCAGCGCUUUGUGAUACAUUUUCGAAGAGUCGAGUUGUUUGGGAAUGCAGCUCAAAUUGGGUGGUAAAUUCCAUCUAAAGCUAAAUAUUGGCGAGAGACCGAUAGCGAACAAGUACCGUGAGGGAAAGAUGAAAAGCACUUUGGAAAGAGAGUUAACAGUACGUGAAAUUGUUGGAAGGGAAACGCUUGAAGUCAGACUUGCUUGCUGAGCAAUCGGUUUGCAGGCCAGCAUCAGUUUUCCGGGAUGGAUAAUGGUAGAGAGAAGGUAGCAGUUUCGGCUGUGUUAUAGCUCUCUGCUGGAUACAUCUUGGGGGACUGAGGAACGCAGUGUGCCUUUGGCGGGGGUUUCGACCUCUUCACACU